rnacentral:rRNA from 1 species
GAUGAACGCUGGCGGCGUGCCUAAUACAUGCAAGUCGAGCGAACAGACGAGGAGCUUGCUCCUCUGACGUUAGCGGCGGACGGGUGAGUAACACGUGGAUAACCUACCUAUAAGACUGGGAUAACUUCGGGAAACCGGAGCUAAUACCGGAUAAUAUAUUGAACCGCAUGGUUCAAUAGUGAAAGACGGUUUUGCUGUCACUUAUAGAUGGAUCCGCGCCGCAUCAGCUAGUUGGUAAGGUAACGGCUUACCAAGGCAACGGUGCGUAGCCGACCUGGGAGGGUGACCGCCCCCCUGAGGACUGAGGUAGGGCCCAGUCUCCUACGGUAGGCAGCGGUGGGGAGUCUUGCGCAGUGGGCGGGAGCUGGAUGCAGUAACGCCGCGUGCGGAAUGACGGCCUUCGGGUUAAAAACCAAUUUGUACUGUGCCGCAGCGUGCGUGACGUUAAUGAGUAAAGAAGCCCCGGCUAACUCCGUG